CAUGUCUAAGUAUAAAUUCUUGUACGAUGAAACUGCAGACGGCUCAUUACAACAGUGAUAAACUAAUAGACUUUCGGGUUUUUAACCUUUUGGAUAACCGCAGUAAAUCGGGGCUAAUACAUACAAGCGAUGGGUGACUGGCAACGGAAGCUCAGCGAUUAUUAGCAUUACUACCAAUACCUUCGGGUCUUGUGGUGAAACCGAAUAAUAUUGCAGAUCGAGGAUUUAUCUUCGACAAGUCUACUGUGUCACUGCCCUAUCAACUUUCGAUGGUACGGUAUUGGCCUACCAUGGUUGUAACGGGUAACGGGGAAUUAGGGUUCGAUUCCGGAGAGGGAGCCUGAGAAAUGGCUACCACUUCUACGGAAGGCAGCAGGCGCGCAAAUUACUCAAUCCCAAUACGGGGAAGUAGUGACAAUAAAUAUCAAUACCUAUCCUUAACGGAGGGCAAUUGAAAUGAACACAAAUUAAAACUCUUAAUUAACACAAUUGGAGGGCAAGUCUGGUGCCAGCAGCCGCGGUAAUUCCAGCUCCAAUAGCAUAUACUAAAGUUGUUGCAGUUAAAAAGCUCGUAGUUGAAGUUAAAGGUUUACUGGGCUAAAGUUAUUUGCCACUCUGGUGGUUAAAUCAACUCCAGUAUUCCUUUUUUUAAUAGCUCUGCUUCUAGCAUCUUUGAUGUUAGUUGUUUGGGCAUUUCACUGUGAGAAAAUUGUGGUGUUUAAAGCAGGCGUCUCGCCUGAUCUUUUGCAGCAUGGUAUGAUGAAACAUGACAUUUUACG
rnacentral:rRNA from 1 species